ACGCUCGACACCUACGGGGGCAGCAGUGGGGAAUAUUGCACAAUGGGGGAAACCCUGAUGCAGCGACGCCGCGUGGAGGAAGAAGGUCUUCGGAUUGUAAACUCCUGUUGUUGGGGAAAAAGAGGAUGGUACCCAACAAGGAAGUGACGGCUAACUACGUGCGAGCAGCCGCGGUAAUCUGAGCGGGCUGGCAAGGC
rnacentral:rRNA from 1 species